UCUUGUGUCAAGGAUGACCCUGUCUGUGUGCGUGUGUUUUUAGGUCUCCAGCUUAGUUUCCAGCUCACAUGCUGUCCUGUAGUGCAGGCCCUACAAGUGAGUUCUCCGGAAUCCCAUUCCAAUUCCAUGAAGGUUUCCUGUGCCCGCACUCCCCUGCGCUGCAGAAAUAGGGCCCUGCCAUUCCUGAGUCGUGCUGGGCAGAGGGUAACUGACUUAGCGCCAGCAGUGAACCAGCCUCCCAGCAUGCCUUUCUCUAUCUGUUAUUGUGAAUUUCAGAGAACGGAAGGAUUUCCCCUCUCCCUGCAGAUGUGCAGAGAGGGCUUUUCAGCUCAAUCACACCCACCAACGACUCCCAGGACAGUAACAGCCUGGGUGACAGCCAGAGCGGACACUGACUACUUCCAGGCUGCAGAGAGAAAACAGAAGCGGCCGAGAAGCUGGGAACUGUGCGGAGGGAAACAGCUGGCCGCCUAUGAGACCGUGGUUCCCCUCUCCCUGCUAAGAUGAUGCUCGCAGCACACACUGGUUUGAGUUUGAGGAGGGCCAAACAACAUGAUGAACACACAAGGCAAGAGCUAGCAGAGGGGCAGGAACACACCGGAAGUGCCUAGCUGUAGCGGCAAACAAGUACGCAGAGAUGAUGUGUGGAGGGACCGCUGAGCAAGCUUCCUACUCUUCGGCUUCAUAAAUGGCUCCGCGUUUCCGGUGCUGCGCGUGCAGUUGGGGUGCUGCCGCAUUGCCAGGACACUGGGGAAGAAUCACUAAUGGAGAUGAUUGCCCGUAAUGACGCUCUCUGGAAGUGCCUGGCUGAUUAAAUGCUGAAGGAAGAGGGCAUAAUCGUCGGAAUUUCAAUUAAACGCUCGUUUCAUACUAUCAGAGGAAGAAGCAAUUUCAUUUUCACUCCUGGCCGCAGCGCCACGGUCUGUCAGAAACUUGCGGAUUGUGUCUCACUCUGCGGCUGAACUGCAGCUC